UGCUAUUAGAAUUCCAUUUAAAGUGCUUUGGAAUCAAAGAAGAAAGCUGCUGACCAUUUAGGGGAGUCAGUAAAACUUCAUGUUUAAAAACACAGGCACAAACGCAUUGGAUGGAUUUUGAAGGAAAACUAAGCAUUUGCCAGCGGGAAGACAUGAAGACGUUCUAGGCAGAGGGAGCCGUUGGAGCCAGGUCAGAGAGUUGUGAAAGGCUGCAUUUUCUGGGAAACCUACAGCUGCCCUGAAGUCUAAUGGAUAAGGCGUUCUGAGGCAGGUGGAUGAAACUGCAGGGGAGUUCCCCACUUUGUGGACAGGGAAGAGAGGUUUCCCUAAGGAGGUCAGGAUCGGAUAUGAGUCACGGGGCAGCCAUUUUGGAAGGAAGACAUUUGUCAACCAGGAAGCUGUAAUUCAAAAUGUGGACUUAAGCAAGAGGAAACACCCAGCUCUCCCUUGGAUCCAGGUUUCAAGAAGCACUCACCAGAUAACUGCAUGUAUCAGAUUGCAGCCACUGAGAAACAGCAACAUUUAGAGAUCUCUACAGCAUAGAUGAAUUUGGGAUGAAGCCUCUCUUUUGUAGAGAUUCGCUCACCAUCACCAACAUUAAAAGAUGAGGCUUUC